UACGUAGGGUGCAAGCGUUAACCGGAAUUACUGGGCGUAAAGCGUGCGCAGGCGGUUGUGCAAGACCGAUGUGAAAUCCCCGGGCUCAACCUGGGAAUGGCAUUGGUGACUGCACGGCUAGAGUGUGUCAGAGGGGGGUAGAAUUCCACGUGUAGCAGUGAAAUGCGUAGAGAUGUGGAGGAAUACCGAUGGCGAAGGCAGCCCCCUGGGAUAACACUGACGCUCAUGCACGAAAGCGUGGGGAGCAAACAGG
rnacentral:rRNA from 1 species